CCUACGGGCGGCAGCAGUGAGGAAUAUUGGUCAAUGGGCGCGAGCCUGAACCAGCCAAGUAGCGUGAAGGAUGACUGCCCUACGGGUUGUAAACUUCUUUUAUAAAGGAAUAAAGUGAGGCACGUGUGCCUUUUUGUAUGUACUUUAUGCAUAAGGAUCGGCUAACUCCGUGCCAGCAGCCGCGGUAAUCCGGAGGAUCCGAGCGUUAUCCGGAUUUGUUUGGUUUAAAGGGAGCGUAGGUGGGUUGUUAAGUCAGUUGUGAAAGUUUGCGGCCACACCGGAAUAUUUCUAUUGAUACUGGGAGUUGUGACUACAUGAGAGGUAGGAGGAAUGC
rnacentral:rRNA from 1 species